rnacentral:rRNA from 1 species
UAGGGAAUCUUCGGCAAUGGGGGCAACCCUGACCGAGCAACGCCGCGUGAGUGAAGAAGGUUUUCGGAUCGUAAAGCUCUGUUGUAAGAGAAGAACGUGUGUGAGAGUGGAAAGUUCACACAGUGACGGUAACUUACCAGAAAGGGACGGCUAACUACGUGCCAGCAGCCGCGGUAAUACGUAGGUCCCGAGCGUUGUCCGGAUUUAUUGGGCGUAAAGCGAGCGCAGGCGGUUUAAUAAGUCUGAAGUUAAAGGCAGUGGCUUAACCAUUGUUCGCUUUGGAAACUGUUAAACUUGAGUGCAGAAGGGGAGAGUGGAAUUCCAUGUGUAGCGGUGAAAUGCGUAGAUAUAUGGAGGAACACCGGUGGCGAAAGCGGCUCUCUGGUCUGUAACUGACGCUGAGGCUCGAAAGCGUGGGGAGCGAACAGG